UAUUAUAUUUAAUGUUAUAUGAUUAUUAGGGUAGUAAUAUAUGAAUAUUUUGAAACUCAAAGAAUUUGGCGGUGUUUUAGUCUUUUCAGAGGAAUCUGUCCUGUAAUUGAUGAUACACGAUUUGUUUUACUUAAUUUUAUUAUUAAUUUGUAUACCGCCGUCAUAGGAUUAUUUUUGUUGGAGAAUUAUAAUUGUCUUAUUUUUUUAUUAGUAAAUAUGUCAGGUCAAGGUGCAGUUUAUAAUUAAGUGGAGAUGGAUUACAAUAAUUUUAAUGUUAUUAUGGAUAAUUAUUAUUAGAUUAAUUUGAAGGUGGAUUUGAUUGUAAAUUUAUUUUUGAUUUUUAUAUUGAUUAGGGCUCUAUAAUGUGUACAUAUCGCCCGUCGCUCUCGUUUUGAAAAUGAG
rnacentral:rRNA from 1 species